ensembl:lncRNA
GGCCUGUUGUCGGGGCUCCUGAGUUUGUUAUUACCAGAAACACUAAACAGCCCUUUGCUGGAGACGAUAUCGGACCUGCAGGUGUGCUCCUACUGGAGACUGGGGGAUGAAGCUAUGUCAUUGCAAGCACUAAGUGGCUCCCGGUCUGCAGACAAAGAUAGCUCUGCAGGGAGUGAAAGUGAAGAUGAAGAAUUCUAUGAUGCUGAUGAAGAGACUCAAAUGAUCAAAAUUUCAGGUGAGUCUCUAAAUGGUCCGUCUUUAAUUCCAAGGAAAAAUGAAGUCAAAACCUUUUUUUCAUGUUAUUGCUGAAGAUUGAAUGAGAUGCAGUCAUUGUGCAGGUAUAAUUUUUGCUUUAUGAAGAAAAUUUUUGUUGCAUUGCAUACUUAAUGGUAGCAGCUUUUCCUUCCUUGAGUUAGUAAUGUUGGAUUUUUUUAAGCUACCUCUUUCAACUAAUCUUUAUUUGGUACUGAAUAUUACAUUCAAGAGAUUUUAGGAAACGGGGGGGAAAAAUACUUUCCAUUGUCUUGUUUGUAUGCUGCUGGUGAUCCACUGAUUAACUUGAAAGGGGGAAGAACUUAUGGCUUUAAUGUUUUUUACAAUGAAUUUUGAAUAGUGAAUGUAAGUACAGGGGUUAUUUUGGGGUGGGGAGGAGGGUAGUUUUAGAAGGGUUGAACAGCCCUGCCUGUUAUGGGUGAUGCUCUGCUCUUCUGAAAACCAGGCCUUUACUGUUCUGAAACCCCUCUGUUGGGUAGAAGAUUGUACUCUGGCACUGUCUUGUUUCUCCUUGCUCUUAGCCUUUCGCAAGCAGUUAAUCUCAUAGGACAAGUAAAUGAAAUUCCUGAAUAGAUGAUCAAAUUCUGCCCUCAGUUACCUUUACACAACCCCACUGAUUUCAACUUCAGGCAGAAUUUGGACGUUAUCCUGACAGAGGAGCAGCUAACUGGAUGAACUUUGUUUUUUCAAGAUCAUAUGACCAAGUUCAGUGCCAGCAUAACUCCCAUGGACUUUGUGAAGUUGUAUCUGCUUACACAAGAAUGAAAUUUGAUACUACAUUCAGAAGAUCUUGUCAGGCUGUGGGUUAAGCAAAAAGAUAUCUGGUGGUGCGGGGGGUGGGUUUUUGCUUGGGCCAUGUACCCAGGCAGAAGGUUUUAGAUGUUUGUUUUAUGCAGUGUGUGGGUAUAUAUUUUUUUUUUUAAUCCUUGAUUUGGACUUCUUGAGCACUGCAUGUAAAGAUCUUUCAGCAUAAAUAUGUGGAUUUAUUGAAUUUCGAAGUUGUUCUUCUGUGAUUAUCCUCUGAUUGCCAUUUCUAGUUCACAGCUAGAAAAGCCUGGGGGUUGUGGGUGGGUUUUUUUGUUUGUUUUUAACACUAAGAAGUCACCAUUUAUUCAAGCCUAAAAACAUUAGUUUCCCUGAUGUAUGUCUCUCUUAGUGGUGGCAUUCACUUACACAGUGUGACUAAGUUCUGGGUCUGUCUCCUUUUAAGAAGUGUUUGGGUCCGUCUCUUUUUAAGAUGCGUUUGCCACAGAUGACUAAACUGUUGUAACAAAUGUAAAAAUAUUCAGAACAGCUAAUGCAGAUUGUUAUAUUUAAUGCAGAUUGUUUGAUAGCUGCUAUAAUUCACUGGAGCUCUGCAAGGUAAAACCAGCAAGUUGGUUCAAGUUUGGAACCUUUUGCAAUGUGAGAUUUUAAAAAAAAGAACUCCUUUAAAAUUUUACAGAUUUACACUCCCAAAAUGGGCAUGGGAAGUCUCGGUAAUAACACUAUUUAGCCAGAAAUCAAUAUGGGAUAUGCUUUACAUUCUGGGAGAUGUUAAUUAUUUCUGGGUGACCUUGUGAGCAUUUUUAAGAUGUUUAAUCUUUAAGAUUUCAUAGAUGUUUGUCUGCCGUGGCACAGUAACUUUUAGGUGAUUUGUAAAAACUCUGAAACCACUUCUGACUCAUACAGUUCAUAUAAAUGUCUCUGUGGCUUAUUUUGUGCCUUUUCUUUCCCUAAUGCAAGCUCUCUCAAUAAACAUAAGCUGUUCCGG